GCGUCGUCAGGACCGUAGGCUGGGGUGAUACGCAGGUGGAAGGCGGUGUCCUUAAUUAUUGUGCGGAAAGCGGGCGUAGGUGGUCUGGCGCGUCGGCUGGGGAAACCCGGGGCUUAGCCCCGGGCUUGCAGUGGAUACGGGCAGACUAGAGGCAGGUAGGGGAGAAUGGAAUUCCCGGUGUAGCGGUGAAAUGCGCAGAUAUCGGGAGGAACACCGGUGGCGAAGGCGGUUCUCUGGGCCUGACCUGACGCUGAGGAGCGAAAGCGUGGGGAGCGAACAGGAUUAGAUACCCUAGUAGUC
rnacentral:rRNA from 1 species